UACGUAGGGCGCAAGCGUUGUCCGGAAUCAUUGGGCGUAAAGCGCGCGUAGGUGGCCUCGUAAGUCCGCUGUGAAAGUCAACGGCUCAACCUUUGAAAGCCGGUGGAUACUGUGAGGCUAGAGUACGGAAGAGGCGAGUGGAAUUCCUGGUGUAGCGGUGGAAUGCGCAGAUAUCAGGAGGAACACCAAUAGCGAAGGCAGCUCGCUGGGACGUUACUGACACUGAGGCGCGAAAGCGUGGGGAGCGAACAGG
rnacentral:rRNA from 1 species